rnacentral:rRNA from 1 species
AUGGUUCUGAUUGCUUAUUGCACCACAUGUGUUUUUCUUUGAAACAAACUUGCUUUGGCGGUGGGCCCAGCCUGCCGCCAGAGGUCUAAACUUACAACCAAUUUUUUAUCAACUUGUCACACCAGAUUAUUACUAAUAGUCAAAACUUUCAACAACGGAUCUCUUGGUUCUCGCAUCGAUGAAGAACGCAGCGAAAUGCGAUACGUAAUAUGAAUUGCAGAUAUUCGUGAAUCAUCGAAUCUUUGAACGCACAUUGCGCCCUCUGGUAUUCCGGAGGGCAUGCCUGUUUGAGCGUCGUUUCUCCCUCAAACCGCUGGGUUUGGUGUUGAGCAAUACGACUUGGGUUUGCUUGAAAGACGGUAGUGGUAAGGCGGGAUCGCUUUGACAAUGGCUUAGGUCUAACCAAAAACAUUGCUUGCGGCGGUAACGUCUACCACGUAUAUCUUCAAACUUUGACCUCAAAUCAGGUAGGACUACCCGCUGAACUUAAGCAUAUCAAUAAGCGGGG